UUUCCAAUAAUUUGUUAUGCCUUCGUGCAAACUUAUGAACUUCCAAUUGUAUAGCUGAAUUAACCACUAUCAGGAUGUCCCUUUUUUUUCUUUAGUUUGUCUAUUUCUUAAACUGAACAGCACCAAUUUUCUAUGAUUGAGGUAUUUUUUUCCAUUGUUGGCCUACUUCCUAAAUAUCAUAGAUGUUUCGUGCUAAGAGUAGGGUAUAACUAAAAGCUAUUUAUAUAUUAACAUAAGAUAGUUGGGAAAUCAUAUUUAUCUCUUAUCCAUGCAAAAUCAUAUAUUGUGGGGUUUGUGCCAUAUGCCGCUAUCAGGCCGAAAGCAAGUCCACAAGUACACAAAGGGUUUAUUCAAGUGACAGAGUUUUUUUAACACAUAGAAUUAGAUAUCCUAAAGUACUCAAAAAAUAUUCAUUGCUAUGGGUAAGGUUGAGCAUCGUACCUAUAGACUAUUGAUAUGGCCAAUAAUUUCAUAAAGUUUCUUCUUCACCAAGAUGAAACCUUGCACUAAUACCCAUGCAUGCCAUUUACUCUAAAUGGCUAGCAUUGGCAAUCCACCCUACCAUGCACUAUUAGCUUUAGAUUUGUGAACUUGAUGCUCGAGCUCGCAAGUCAUCCCUUAUCUAAUAGACACGUCUUUUUGUACUUUGAAUGUUGGUAAAUUUAUGGCCAAACCCAUGUAUUGACAAUGAUACUAUGGACUAUAUCAUCAAUAGGGUUCACAAAGGUUUACUGGAAUCAGAUAUGAGCGUGGGCCCAAUAGUCCAACGUAGAAAUCAUCAUAACAGCAACAUCUCUAUAUUAGAUGAAGACAUAAUCAGACAUAUGAGACAUGAUUAGCAAUAACUCGAAAGGUUUUGAAAAAUUCUGCUUUUCAAAAUUACUAUAAUUCAUGUGAAUAGUUUUCAUAAGAUGAAGUCUCGCACGAUCUAGGGUUCUAUUGUGUCAUGAAACUGGAUUGCUAAGGGUUCAAUACUGCAUUCAAUGGUAUAUGCAUAGGAACAAUAGAAUGAUGAGGGGGAUUAGAUUAUAGGAGGUAGCUUGUGUAGAAACAAGAGACACAAACUAGGAGGACCUGAGCGGUAGGUUUUUGGUGAGUGAAAAUCCGAGUAUACCGAUCCUAGUAACAUCUAGCAUGUAUAUCUGCCACCGUCAAUUGGAAAUAGUUUCCAUUUGAUUGUUAGCUUAAUGAUUAUAUCAAAUAGAUGCAAAUUUAAAUGCGGAAGAGACUAGGCUUGAGAAAUAGUCUAAAUACAAAGAUUGGGUUAGAUCAAGUCAAGUAAUAUGAAACUUGGGUUAUCUAGUGGUGCAAUCGAGUCUAGCCGAAUUGACUAGCUAGAGUUUCAAGCUCGACUCAAUUCAAAAUAUUUGGACUCAAAAUUCGACUUGAGAUCGAUCGAGCCCUAAUAUUUCAAGAUUAAGCUAUACUCGAUAAGAAAAAGGUAAUACUCAAACUUGACUAAAGACUCGAAUAUCAAUCAAGCCAUACUCAAGCAUGAGUUUAAGCUUAUAUUCAAACCUUGGC
rnacentral:lncRNA from 1 species